rnacentral:siRNA from 1 species
CAGCAUAGUGUCCGUACUCAC